UUUCAAAACAAACCGAAAAGUGACUCAAAAGGCCAACCCAGCUCAGGAAAUCACCAAAACUCCAGCUGCUCAUUAUCCAUGUGGCUGCGUAUAAAACUCCCCACGUUGCCGUGAGUUCAAGAGGGAGCUAGCUAACUCGCCGCCGGUAGCCAUCGCGGAGGAUCAGAUUGCUGCUAUGGAAGCGGCGAGGAUUAAAGUAUGGUGAGCUUCUAAGGCCUCGUACCUGCGGGCCAUGUGCACUCAGCCUUCGUGUUAAAGUUGAAAUGUGAUGCAACACUGCCCCCACAGGGGUGCUCCAUGAGGGCAAGUCUUGUGCACAGCCCCCCCUUCAGGUCUUUUUGGUUCAAUUGACAGAGAUUGGGAUGCUAAAAGGUGACGUCGCUCUUCAGCAGAGAAGCAAAGAUGGGCUGUUGCUG